GUGGGGAAUAUUGCACAAUGGGCGCAAGCCUGAUGCAGCAACGCCGCGUGAGGGAUGACGGCCUUCGGGUUGUAAACCUCUUUUAGCAAGGAAGAAGCGAAAGUGACGGUACUUGCAGAAAAAGCGCCGGCUAACUACGUGCCAGCAGCCGCGGUAAUACGUAGGGCGCAAGCGUUGUCCGGAAUUAUUGGGCGUAAAGAGCUCGUAGGCGGUUUGUCGCGUCUGCUGUGAAAACCCGAGGCUCAACCUCGGGCCUGCAGUGGGUACGGGCAGACUAGAGUGCGGUAGGGGAGAAUGGAACUCCUGGUGUAGCGGUGGAAUGCGCAGAUAUCAGGAAGAACACCGAUGGCGAAGGCAGUUCUCUGGGCCGUAACUGACGCUGAGGAGCGAAAGCGUGGGGAGCAAACAGGAUUAGAAACCCGAGUAGUCC
rnacentral:rRNA from 1 species